GCUUACGGCCAUACCAGCCUGAAUGCGCCCGAUCUCGUCUGAUCUCGGAAGCUAGGCAGGGUCGGGCCUGGUUAGUACCUGGAUGGGAGACCGCCUGGGAAUACCAGGUGCUGUAAGCU
rnacentral:rRNA from 1 species